GGAGGAGGAGGAGGAGGAGGAAGAGAAGGAGGAGAUGAUGAAAAGGAGCAGGCAAAUAAGUUGGGAAAAUUAAAGCUUAAAGCUGACUUUUCCACCUGGAGCCUGUGGGACCUCAAAUAUCACCUCCACCUGGUCUUGAUUUCUCUGACCCCGUUGGAUGAUCUUCCAGGAAUCUGCUGUUCCUUCCAAAAAUUUCCCAAAAGCAUGGGCUCCACCACAUGUGCAAGUCUCAGCAGCUGUCCAGAGUGAGAAGAAAUAAAAGUCAGUGGCCCACAGGA